ACGAACGCUGGCGGCGUGCUUCACACAUGCCAGUCGCACGGAAAGGCCCUGCUUUUGUGGGGUGCUCGAGUGGCGAACGGGUGAGUAGCACGUGAGUAACCUGCCCUUGACUUUGGGAUAACUUCAGGAAACUGGGGCUAAUACCGGAUAGGAGCUCCUGCUGCAUGGUGGGGGUUGGAAAGUUUCGGCGGUUGGGGAUGGACUCGCGGCUUAUCAGCUUGUUGGUGGGGUAGUGGCUUACCAAGGCUUUGACGGGUAGCCGGCCUGAGAGGGUGACCGGCCACAUUGGGACUGAGAUACGGCCCAGACUCCUACGGGAGGCAGCAGUGGGGAAUAUUGCACAAUGGGCGGAAGCCUGAUGCAGCAACGCCGCGUGCGGGAUGACGGCCUUCGGGUUGUAAACCGCUUUCGCCUGUGACGAAGCGUGAGUGACGGUAAUGGGUAAAGAAGCACCGGCUAACUACGUG
rnacentral:rRNA from 1 species